CUGAAUAACUACGCUGAUCGCACGGUCUCGAACCGGCGACGUAUCCUUCAAGUGUCUGCCUUAUCAACUGUCGAUGGUAGUUUAUGUGCCUACCAUGGUUGUAACGGGUAACGGAGAAUAAGGGUUCGACUCCGGAGAGGGAGCCUGAGAAACGGCUACCACAUCCAAGGAAGGCAGCAGGCGCGCAAAUUACCCACUCUCAGCACGAGGAGGUAGUGACGAAAAAUAACGAGACGGAUCUCUAUGAGGCCCGUUAUCGGAAUGAGAACAAUCCAAAUCCUUUAACGAGGAUCUAGCGGAGGGCAAGUCUGGUGCCAGCAGCCGCGGUAAUUCCAGCUCCGCAGGUGUAUAUCUAUGCUGCUGUGGUUAAAAAG
rnacentral:rRNA from 1 species